CUUGUGCAGGUCUCUUCUUCAUGGGUGGGCAAUCAACAAAGUCUUUUCUCCAUUGAUAUUCCACAAUGGCUUGUCUGAUGUCUGAACAUUCUUUUGUUGGGUAGGAGAUGACACCUCUUCUGUUCUCAGCUAAAAAUGAAAAACUUCUGAUGCUUAGCAGUCCUCCCAACAUUGUGAUGCUAAUGGUUCUGGGAUGUGAACGUUAAAAGUUAAAUCAAAUUCUAAAGGAGGAAAAAACCCUAUGUGCUUAAAGCAACACCAACACAUUAAAAAUGAUGUAUUUUAAAAGAAUCAUUAAUAACCAUGUAGAUAAUUAAAGGCUUCAUCAUGCUACCAUUA